UACGUAGGUGGCAAGCGAUACUCGGAAUCACUAGGCGUAAAGCGCAGGUAGGCGGUUUGGUAAGUCUUUUGUGAAAGCUCCCGGCUCAACUGGGAGAGGUCAAGGGAAACUACCGGACUAGAGUGUGGUAGGGGAUACUGGAAUUCCUGGUGUAGCGGUGAAAUGCGUAGAUAUCGGGAGGAACACCAGCGGUGUAGACGGCUUACUGGACCACGACUGACGCUGAGGCACGAAAGCGUGGGGAGCAAACAGG
rnacentral:rRNA from 1 species